GCGAGAGUGAUGGAAGCGGUAGACAUAGCGGACUUAAAAUCCGCUGGGGCCAAUCACCCCGUGUGGGUUCGAGUCCCACCUCUCGCACCA
rnacentral:tRNA from 1 species